rnacentral:rRNA from 1 species
AACGAACGCUGGGGGCAGGCUUAACACAUGCAAGUCGAGCUCCCCGCAAGGGGAGCGGCAGACGGGUGAGUAACGCGUGGGAAUCUACCCAUCUCUACGGAAUAACGCAUGGAAACGUGUGCUAAUACCGUAUACGUUCUUCGGGAGAAAGAUUUGUCGGGGCUGGAUGAGCCCGCGUUGGAUUAGCUAGUUGGUGGGGUAAAGGCCUACCAAGGCGACGAUCCUUAGCUGGUCUGAGAGGAUGAUCAGCCACACCGGGACUGAGACACGGCCCAGACUCGUACGGGAGGAAGCAGUGGGGAAUAUUUGACAAUGGGCGCAAGCCUGAUCAGGCCAUGCCGCGUGAGUGAUGAAGGCCCUAGGGUUGUAAAGCUCUUUCACCGGUGAAGAUAAUGACGGUAACCGGAGAAGAAGCCCCGGCUAACUUCGUGCCAGCCGCCGCCGUAAUAC